rnacentral:tRNA from 1 species
UUUGCUGUGGCUCAGUGGUAGAGUGCUCACCUAGCAUGUGUGAGGCACUGGGUUCAAUUCCCAGCACCACAU